GGGGCGCGCUGGGGGGCGGGGAUUCCGACCCGCAUGUAUUUGCAUAUAUUAUAAUGCUGACCAAUGACUGGAGAAAACACUUACGACGCGGCUGCGGUCACGGACAAAGUUGCACGUGUCUGUUCGGAAAUGGCAGAUGCUGAGAGGUCCAGGUUUACAUUACAGACUAUUUCAAAGUGACAGCCUGAGGUGUUCUUCAGUAAAUUGGACUACCGGACAGGAGGACCUGAGGCCCCACCGCAUUAUUUUUGGUAAGUUAAAUGUGUUUGUAAACUAAUCCGUAAUUUAGGUCCUUAGCUAGCUACCUAGCCAGCUAAGGACCUAGCUAGCUAAGAUGAGCACUCGGCUGUUGGGGAAACUUGUUUUGUAAAGUUCGUUUAGCUAACCCGUGCAGGUGAAUGAAUUUACCCUGACUAAAGAAAUCAAGAGGAACGCACCGGGCUGCUCAGUGACUAACCACGGUUACUGUACUUUUAUUAUGAGUAUUAUACUGUAAGAGCAACAGGCUGGACUCUGCAGAGCUGAUUAUUAAAUAUGUGCAAACAGCAGCAUGUUUUCUGUCGCUUUCCACUUGUGGAACGACAUUAACGCCAAUUUUAAAAACCUGGCACUUCAGUAACCCCUCAUUAGUCAAUAGCUACGGAUUAAAUAGCAAAGCCCGAUACUUAUGUACUGAAACCAACUACUUCCGCUUGUCAGCUUAAGUUAAAAUGUUACAUUUUUCCUCUGAUUAUUUUUUUAGCUUUUUUUUUUUUAGUUUGUUACAAAUAUUCAGGUUAAAAACUGUCCAAAUUAUUUUUAAUGAAUUAUGUUCACAAAGUCACAUGUUCAGUACUCUGUACAGCUUGCAUCCUUUAGGACAAAUAAUUUGAAACAUUAAUAUUUCUUGUUCAAUACUGAGCUGAUAACACCUCUGUAUGUUGUGACCAGGAUGCAGCAGCAGACUGAACCUCGACUGAAACCUGCUCCAUCAUCUCAUCUUUGCAGAUGUCCAUUUAUAAAGCAUCAACAACUCAAAGAUUCAGACCUCAGCACCACCCAGUGACAGCAGACAGAUCAUCCUAUAUCUUCAAUCUUUGUAGUAACUCCAAAAUUAACUGAAGAAAACAGUACAAAGGUUAAAGUACCACAUGUGCUGUCAGUGAAAGCUGCAGCUGUUUUAUUGAUAAAUUUAAAGACAAAAAGUCAAAAGGAUUAAUCACCCCUGUAACUGUGUCACUAUACAUCAGCAUUAACAGUACCUCAGUUUGGUGUUUCAGAAAACUGCUGAUCUCAGACCUGCACAACUUCUGUUUUAAACACUGAAUGUACUCAGCUACAUGAAGAGCACAUGAUGUUUUCUCUGACACAAUUAAAUAAAACCUGAUUAAA